rnacentral:rRNA from 1 species
AUUGAACGCUGGCGGCAGGCCUAACACAUGCAAGUCGAGCGGAUGAAGGGAGCUUGCUCCUGGAUUCAGCGGCGGACGGGUGAGUAAUGCCUAGGAAUCUGCCUGGUAGUGGGGGAUAACGUCCGGAAACGGGCGCUAAUACCGCAUACGUCCUGAGGGAGAAAGUGGGGGAUCUUCGGACCUCACGCUAUCAGAUGAGCCUAGGUCGGAUUAGCUAGUUGGUGGGGUAAAGGCCUUCCAAGGCGACGAUCCGUAACUGGUCUGAGAGGAUGAUCAGUCACACUGGAACUGAGAAACGGUCCAGACUCCUACGGGAGGCAGCAGUGGGGAAUAUUGGACAAUGGGCGAAAGCCUGAUCCAGCCAUGCCGCGUGUGUGAAGAAGGUCUUCGGAUUGUAAAGCACUUUAAGUUGGGAGGAAGGGCAGUAAGUUAAUACCUUGCUGUUUUGACGUUACCAACAGAAUAAGCACCGGCUAACUUCGUG